rnacentral:rRNA from 1 species
AUUGAACGCUGGCGGCAGGCUUAACACAUGCAAGUCGAGCGAGCGGCGGACGGGUGAGUAAUGUCUGGGAAACUGCCUGAUGGAGGGGGAUAACUACUGGAAACGGUAGCUAAUACCGCAUACUAUCAGAUGUGCCCAGAUGGGAUUGGCUAGUUGGUGGGGUAAUGGCUCACCUAGGAGACGAUCCCUAGCUGGUCUGAGAGGAUGACCAGCCACACUGGAACUGAGACACGGUCCAGACUCCAACGGGAGGCGGCGGUGGGAAAUAUGGCACAAUGGGGACAAUCCUGAUGCAGCCAUGCCGCGUGUGUGAAAAAGGCCUUCGGGUUGUAAAGCACUUUCAGCGGGGAGGCGUUACUCGCAGAAGAAGCACCGGCUAACUCCGUGCCAGCAGCCGCGGUAAUAC